rnacentral:rRNA from 1 species
AGCGAACGCUGGCGGCAGGCCUAAAACAUGCAAGUCGAACGCCGUAGCAAUACGGAGUGGCAGACGGGUGAGUAACACGUGGGAACGUACCCUUUGGUUCGGAACAACACAGGGAAACUUGUGCUAAUACCGGAUAAGCCCUUACGGGGAAAGAUUUAUCGCCGAAGGAUCGGCCCGCGUCUGAUUAGCUAGUUGGUGGGGUAACGGCCCACCAAGGCUACGAUCAGUAGCUGGUCUGAGAGGAUGAUCAGCCACACUGGGACUGAGACACGGCCCAGACUCCUACGGGAGGCAGCAGUUAGGAAUCUUGGACAAUGGGCGCAAGCCUGAUCCAGCCAUGCCGCGUGAGUGAUGAAGGCCUUAGGGUUGUAAAGCUCUUUCAGCGGGGAAGAUAAUGACGGU